AUUGAACGCUGGCGGCAUGCUUUACACAUGCAAGUCGAACGGUAACAGGCCUUCGGGUGCUGACGAGUGGCGAACGGGCGAGUAAUGCAUCGGAACGUACCCAGAGGUGGGGGAUAACGCAGCGGAAGCUGUGCUAAUACUGCAUGUGAUCUGAGGAUGAAAGCGGGGGACCGAGCAGCAAUGUUUGGCCUCGCGCCUUUGGAGCGGCCGAUGUCGGAUUAGCUAGUUGGUGGGGUAAAGGCCUACCAAGGCGACGAUCCGUAGCUGGUCUGAGAGGACGACCAGCCACACUGGGACUGAGACACGGCCCAGACUCCUACGGGAGGCAGCAGUGGGGAAUUUUGGACAAUGGGCGCAAGCCUGAUCCAGCAAUGCCGCGUGCGGGAAGAAGGCCUUCGGGUUGUAAACCGCUUUUGGCAGGAACGAAACGGUGUCCGCUAAUACCGGGCGCUAAUGACGGUACCUGCAGAAUAAGCACCGGCUAACUACGUG
rnacentral:rRNA from 1 species